rnacentral:tRNA from 1 species
GUUUAUGUAGCUUAAACCAACUUUAAAGCAAGACANUGAAAAUGCCUAGAUGGGUCUACACACCCCAUAAACA